GGUUAGGCCUGGGCAGGCAUUUACUCCAAGUGAGGGAAAUGGGGGCCUCAAGUAGAUACUCUGCCAGUAGCUGGGCAAAAGGCUGCUCCAGCAUGAGGAAGCUGAGCAAGAGCACCCAGAAUCCUGGGCUGUUGACACUCUGGGGUUUCACGGACAGUGGCUGCACAAAUCCCAGCCAUGAGGAGUUUCAUUUCCCACUUUGCAGGGCCCAAGUGAGUCACAGGCCAGUUUCACUAUGGCCCCACUUACCUGUAGGUAUGGACUGAGCAGCGCUCCCAGGCAUUCCUCCAAGCGCCCUUUCUGGCCCCUGGCCUGGCAACCUGGGCAGAGAAAAGGCAGAGCAGAAGGUAGAUGCCCCAGGCAGGCCUUCCAGCCAGGAAAGCAGCCAGUUCUCCCAACACUCAUGAGAUCCCAGUUCUUCCAAACAGGGCAGGAACUUUGGGCCAACCUUGAGAAACCACAAAUCGCUGCAGUGAUGAGAAGAAGGGAAGUCCGUGCUCAUUGUCCUGUUUCCCCAGUCACUAUGCUCCUGGGGUUCUGGGACCUUCACUAGGUAAAGGUGGAGGAAAAAACCAGUUCGGUCACUUUCCCCCCUUCUGUGGUUAAGACUCUCCCAUGCCUGGAGGUGAACCAUGGAUGUGUAAUCAAUGGGGUGGAAAAGAGACCAGGUCUUUUAAAAUGCCCAGCAGUGCCCAGAGUCCUUUCCAUGGAGCAGUAAUCCCAAUCCCUCUAGUCUCACUAGUCAAAGCCCAGAGGAAAUCAGAGUGGACAACAAACCAGAGGCAGGGGCAGGAGAAUGGCUAUUAGUGAGAAUGGAAACACAUGGCCCCAGUGAUCUCUGCCUCUAGUGUUCAUGCCUUUGUGAACUUGGAAGCAUGAUCCUCCCCAACCAGUUGUCUUCAGAUAAGACCACAUCCCCAGCCAACAGCUUGAAUGCAACCUCAUGAGAGACCUUGAGUCAAAGGUGCCUAACUAAGCCACACUGGGUUACUGACUCCUAAAAACUGAGAUAAUAAAUAUUUGUUGUUUAAAGUCACUAAGUUUUGGGGUACAAUUUGUUAUGCAGCAAUAGAUGACUAAUACAGGGAGCUGGGGGAUUAUGACUGGAACCCAACAACAGACACACUGGAGAAUCUUCUAGUUGAACUUGUAAAGUUUGGAAUUCUUCUGGAAUUCUUGACAAACAGAAUGACCAACAGACUCAGAUAGCUCAGAAAUGAAAGUCUGAUUUAUCCCACCAAGUAAAGAACUAGGCAGUUGAUGUACUGACGAAAGGGAAAAGGAAAACAGAAUACAAGUUAUGGGGGGAGAUCAUAUGCCUCAUAAACAUAACAGAAACAAGAGUUAAAGCUACUACUUGUAUUUCUUUCUUGCUGUGUCAUACAUAUUCUUAUAUUUUUUUAUUUAACUUCAUUUUUCUUUCUUUUUCCCCUCACUGAUCACUGGAUAUAACUGUUCAGAUGAUUCAGAUGGAAUCAUGACAGAACUAAAAAGGAAGAUGCACUGCUCAGUGACCCUGUACUUCGAGCAGAUGCAAUAAUUUAAGGACAAUGGGUUGUCUGCUCUUGGAAAGAGGGUGUGUUUCAGGAUGACACUUCUUACGCUGACAAAGACUGGCCUGAAGCCAAGAAAGGAAGAUUCAGAGAGAGAGUGAAGUUCCUCAGAUUUCAAGUUCAGUUUGCUCUAUAAGCAACUUCCCCAGGUGAAUCACACAAAGAAUUGUCACCCUCUUCCAGAGAGGCCAUGCUACCCACAGAAUACCAUGCCGUUCUGAUGAGUAAUCUGUACCUUCCCCAUCAAUUUCGGACACCUCCUCUGACAUUAAUAAAGUGUUUUAUUCUGGGUCUGUUAA